rnacentral:tRNA from 1 species
GGCUCCAUAGCCAAGUGGCUAAGGCAAUGGUCUGCAACACCAUGAUCGCCGGUUCAAAUCCGGCUGGAGCCUCCA